rnacentral:rRNA from 1 species
GAGUUUGAUCAUGGCUCAGAACGAACGCUGGCGGCAUGCCUAACACAUGCAAGUCGAACGAAGGCUUCGGCCUUAGUGGCGCACGGGUGCGUAACGCGUGGGAAUCUGCCCUUGGGUUCGGAAUAACAGUUAGAAAUGACUGCUAAUACCGAAUGAUGUCGCAAGACCAAAGAUUUAUCGCCCGAGGAUGAGCCCGCGUAGGAUUAGCUAGUUGGUGAGGUAAAAGCUCACCAAGGCGACGAUCCUUAGCUGGUCUGAGAGGAUGAUCAGCCACACUGGGACUGAGACACGGCCCAGACUCCUACGGGAGGCAGCAGUGGGGAAUAUUGGACAAUGGGCGAAAGCCUGAUCCAGCAAUGCCGCGUGAGUGAUGAAGGCCUUAGGGUUGUAAAGCUCUUUUACCCGGGAUGAUAAUGACAGUACCGGGAGAAUAAGCUCCGGCUAACUCCGUGCCAGCCGCCGCUGUAAC